rnacentral:rRNA from 1 species
AUACGUAGGUGGCAAGCGUUAUCCGGAUUUACUGGGUGUAAAGGGUGCGUAGGCGGGCGCCUAAGUCAGCGGUGAAAUGCAGCGGCUCAACCGUUGAACUGCCGUUGAAACUGGGCGCCUUGGAUGCGGUCGAGGCCGGCGGAAUGCGUGGUGUAGCGGUGAAAUGCUUAGAUAUCACGCAGAACGCCAAUUGCGAAGGCAGCUGGCCGGGCCGCAAUCGACGCUGAGGCACGAAAGCGUGGGGAUC